rnacentral:rRNA from 1 species
GGCCCUGCUUGCAGGGUACUCGAGUGGCGAACGGGUGAGUAACACGUGGGUGAUCUGCCCUGCACUUCGGGAUAAGCCUGGGAAACUGGGUCUAAUACCGGAUAGGAGCCAUUUUUAGUGUGAUGGUUGGAAAGUUUUUUCGGUGUAGGAUGAGCUCGCGGCCUAUCAGCUUGUUGGUGGGGUAAUGGCCUACCAAGGCGGCGACGGGUAGCCGGCCUGAGAGGGUGGACGGCCACAUUGGGACUGAGAUACGGCCCAGACUCCUACGGGAGGCAGCAGUNGGGAAUAUUGCACAAUGGGCGCAAGCUGUAUGCAGCGACGCCGCGUGGGGGGAUGACGGCCUUCGGAUUGUAAACUUCUUUCGCUAGGGACGAAGCUUUUUGUGACGGUACCUAGAUAAGAAGCACCGGCUAACUACGUGCCAGCAGCCGCGGUAAUACGUAGGGUGCGAGCGUUGUCCGGAAUUACUGGGCGUAAAGGGCUCGUAGGUGGUUUGUCGCGUCGUCUGUGAAAUUCCGGGUCUUAACUCCGGGCGUGCAGGCGAUACGGGCAUAACUUGAGUACUGUAGGGGUAACUGGAAUUCCUGGUGUAGCGGUGAAAUGCGCAGAUAUCAGGAGGAACACCGAUGGCGAAGGCAGGUUACUGGGCAGUUACUGACGCUGAGGAGCGAAAGCAUGGGUAGCGAACAGGAUUAGAUACCCUGGUAGUCCAUGCCGUAAACGGUGGGCGCUAGGUGUGAGGGUCUUUUCACGACUUUCGUGCCGU